UACGUAACACAAAAAUUAUUUUCAGAGAAUACUUUUGUUUUAAUUACAUAUAUAUCAUUAUUUAUGUGAUCGAGAGGCGACACCAAACAUUUGAUUUAUAUCGUUUGUUUGAUUUAUAUCGUAUUCUUUACUCGGAUUUAGAAUAAUUAUUUGAAGUAGUUACAACAAAUUAGCAAUUCAAAUUCGAAAUGAUCUAAAGAAAAAAACAAUAACGAUUAACUUAUUAUUUCGAAUAGAGAAGGGAUGAGAGAGAGAGAGAGAAAAAGGUAUCUCGAUAGGUGUGGUAAGAGGAGGAGACAAGGGAAAGAGAUUGGCACUUGCUUCUCUGCGCUCUCUUCGUUGCUCCACCUUCCCACCAUUUUCUUGUUUAUUUUAUUUCUCUUCUUUCUUUACACGCCACACCUAAACGACUCCAUUUCCCAUUACUUCACUAAAUAUAUAUUUCAAAUUUUGAUACUAGUGAUCCAUUUCACUUUACAAAUAAGUAUUAUUUUUACCUUUUUUUGGGGAAAGAAUUACACUGAAGAUCACAUUUCACUUAUUUAUAAUAUUUUGAGUCACUUUCUACCAUUCACACAUUUUCUUUAACUUUUAUCUCAUAUUUAGUUAAGUUUGUCAACUAAAACAGAACCAUAUUAUAAUUAAUGGGUCUUAUUUCUCUUUUCUCUCUCUUUCUCUUUAUCUUUUUGUGGACUCUUUCUUCUUAAUCUUUAUCAAAUCUGUUUCUUUUUUUUUUCUCUAAAGCUAGUAUGAGAUUUUUUUUGGUAAAACCAUUGUCUCAUGAUUCAGAGAUACGAUUAUGUUGUGCACGCACCUUAACCUCUUUUGUAUGUGGGAUCUCAUGUGAGGCCCAACAUAGAUAUUUUCUUCAUGAAUCUACUUUCAUCUCUUCAUUCACUCUUAGUCCCUUUCUAGAAAUUCGAAGUUGUCGUCCGACUACAAAAUUAAUUGAUGCAAAAGCGACCGCGCCUGAAAUGGAGGCGGAAUAGCCGAUGGUUGGACUGGGACCGGCACUAUGGGUCAAACGCAAGUGUCCGCUUCAGUACGAGCAGCUUAUCUUGAUUCGCUUCCUUCUGCGAACAUGUGUACAUGUUCAAAGGUGUACAUGUGGAUUUGGUCAAAAUGAUGCACACGUGGAUACAUUUUUUUCCUGUACAUACUGUUGAAACAUGUAUCGUGUGUACUAGCUUUGUAAAUGUUUAAGUUUUCAUUGUAUCGUGAAGAUGUUCAUUCAGAUCUUUUAUUUACUAACUUUAUAAAUUUACCACUAUGUCAUUGUAUAGUAGUAAAUUGCUCAUCUGGAUCUUUUGUGUACAUGUGUACACACUGAUAUUUUGUGUAUAUUACGGUGUCCAUGUGGAUAUUAAUAAGGGAAA